CUUGGUCAUUUAGAGGAAGUAAAAGUCGUAACAAGGUUUCCGUAGGUGAACCUGCGGAAGGAUCAUUAUCGUACAAUGGGGGUACCACGGCUGUCGCUGACUUUUUCGGUCGUGCACGCCAGAGUGCUCUCACAUACAAAUAUCCAUCUCACCCCUUUGUGCAUCACCGCGUGGGUCCCCCUUCCUCCGAGGGGGGUCCUCACGUUUUUAACAUUAAACACCCAUUCGAACGUAUCGUAGAAUGUUCUUUGCGCGAUCACGCGCGAUCAAUACAACUUUCAACAACGGAUCUCUUGGCUCUCGCAUCGAUGAAGAACGCAGCGAAAUGCGAUACGUAAUGUGAAUUGCAGAAUUCAGUGAAUCAUCGAAUCUUUGAACGCACCUUGCGCCCCUUGGAAUUCCGAGGGGCACGCCCGUUUGAGUGUCGUGAACAUCCUUCAACCUUUCUUGGUUUCUCGAUCAAGGAAGGCUUGGACUUUGGGGGUUUUUCAUUGCUGGCCUCCCUUGAAGCCAGCUCCUCCUAAAUGUAUUAGUGGGGUCUGCUUUGCCAAUCCUUGACGUGAUAAGAUGCUUCUACGUCUUGGGUUUCGCACUGUCGCUUUGGACCCUGCUUCUAACCGUCUUGCAUUCAGGACAGAGUCAUGAACCUCGACCUCAAAUCGGGUGAGACUACCCGCUGAACUUAAGCAUAUCAAUAAGCGGAGGA
rnacentral:rRNA from 1 species